rnacentral:tRNA from 1 species
CGGGGCUUGGCGCAGUUUGGUAGCGCGCUUCGUUCGGGACGAAGAGGUCGUGGGUUCAAAUCCCGCAGCCCCGA